GAUGAACGCUGGCGGCGUGCCUAAUACAUGCAAGUCGAGCGAACAGAUGAGGAACUUGCUCCUCUGACGUUAGCGGCGGACGGGUGAGUAACACGUGGAUAACCUACCUAUAAGACUGGGAUAACUUCGGGAAACCGGAGCUAAUGCCGGAUAAUAUAUUGAACCGCAUGGUUCAAUAGUGAAAGACGGUUUUGCUGUCACUUAUAGAUGGAUCCGCGCCGCAUUAGCUAGUUGGUAAGGUAACGGCUUACCAAGGCAACGAUGCGUAGCCGACCUGAGAGGGUGAUCGGCCACACUGGAACUGAGACACGGUCCAGACUCCUACGGGAGGCAGCAGUAGGGAAUCUUCCGCAAUGGGCGAAAGCCUGACGGAGCAACGCCGCGUGAGUGAUGAAGGUCUUCGGAUCGUAAAACUCUGUUAUUAGGGAAGAACAAAUGUGUAAGUAACUAUGCACGUCUUGACGGUACCUAAUCAGAAAGACACGGCUAACUACGUG
rnacentral:rRNA from 1 species